UAUCUCCUACGGGGGGCAGCAGUCGGGAAUAUUGCGCAAUGGAGGAAACUCUGACGCAGUGACGCCGCGUAUAGGAAGAAGGUUUUCGGAUUGUAAACUAUUGUCGUUAGGGAAGAUAAAAGACAGUACCUAAGGAGGAAGCUCCGGCUAACUACGUGCCAGCAGCCGCGGUAAUACGUAGGGGGCGAGCGUUAUCCGGAUUCACUGGGUGUAAAGGGAGCGUAGACGGCCAUGCAAGCCAGGGGUGAAAGCCCGGGGCCCAACCCCGGGACUGCCCUUGGAACUGCAUGGCUGGAGUGCGGGAG
rnacentral:rRNA from 1 species